rnacentral:rRNA from 1 species
GAUGAACGCUGGCGGCGUGCCUAAUACAUGCAAGUCGAGCGAACAGACGAGGAGCUUGCUCCUCUGACGUUAGCGGCGGACGGGUGAGUAACACGUGGAUAACCUACCUAUAAGACUGGGAUAACUUCGGGAAACCGGAGCUAAUACCGGAUAAUAUAUUGAACCGCAUGGUUCAAUAGUGAAAGACGGUUUUGCUGUCACUUAUAGAUGGAUCCGCGCCGCAUUAGCUAGUUGGUAAGGUAACGGCUUACCAAGGCAACGAUGCGUAGCCGACCUGAGAGGGGGAUCGGCCACACGGGAACUGAGAAACGGUCCAGACUCCUACGGGAGGCAGAAGUAGGGAAUCUUCAGAAAUGGGCGAAAGCCUGACGGAGCAACGCCGCGGGAGUGAUGAAGGUCUUCGGAUCGUAAAACUCUGUUAUUAGGGAAGAACAAAUGUGUAAGUAACUAUGCACGUCUUGACGGUACCUAAUCAGAAAGCCACGGCUAACUACGUG